UCCCCUGUAGCUCAGCUGGUAGAGCGGGUGGCUGUUAACCACUAGGUCCGCGGUUCGAGUCCGUGCGGGGGAGC
rnacentral:tRNA from 1 species